CGAUGAACGCUGGCGGCGUGCCUAAUACAUGCAAGUCGAGCGAACUGAUUAGAAGCUUGCUUCUAUGACGUUAGCGGCGGACGGGUGAGUAACACGUGGGCAACCUGCCUGUAAGACUGGGAUAACUUCGGGAAACCGAAGCUAAUACCGGAUAGGAUCUUCUCCUUCAUGGGAGAUGAUUGAAAGAUGGUUUCGGCUAUCACUUACAGAUGGGCCCGCGGUGCAUUAGCUAGUUGGUGAGGUAACGGCUCACCAAGGCAACGAUGCAUAGCCGACCUGAGAGGGUGAUCGGCCACACUGGGACUGAGACACGGCCCAGACUCCUACGGGAGGCAGCAGUAGGGAAUCUUCCGCAAUGGACGAAAGUCUGACGGAGCAACGCCGCGUGAGUGAUGAAGGCUUUCGGGUCGUAAAACUCUGUUGUUAGGGAAGAACAAGUACGAGAGUAACUGCUCGUACCUUGACGGUACCUAACCAGAAAGCCACGGCUAACUACGUGCCAGCAGCCGCGGUAAUACCGUAGGUGGCAAGCGUUAUCCGGAAUUAUUGGGCGUAAAGCGCGCGCAGGCGGUUUCUUAAGUCUGAUGUGAAAGCCCACGGCUCAACCGUGGGAGGGUCAU
rnacentral:rRNA from 1 species